CCCGGCCGGGCCCGAGCCGCGGGGCCCGAGCGACGGCGCCGGCCGGGGCCGCGGCGCGGGGAAGCCACUUUGCACGGUCAGCGCCGGCCACAAGUUUGUUCCUCGGCUCCUGGGGGCCUCCGCGCUGAGGGAGAAUAACGCGGAGGGGGCUGAGAGGAGGGGGAGAGGGGAGGCGCCGAGGGGCAAAAGAGUGGGGAAAAGUGCGAAAAGAAGCAACAGCCGCUCCACCCGGGGCCAGAAAAGUGGCUGGCCGCGUCCCGACCGCCCGCCCUGCGCCGGGGAUGCGGCGGCUAACGGUCCAAGGAGGCGGCAGGGGCGGCAGGAGCCGCUAGGCGGAGAGAGACCAGAUGUUGAGCCAACCUUGCAACCCAGGGAUAAAUCCCACUUGGUCGUGAAAUCCUCAUCAAGAAGCCUCUGACAUCUUGAGACAUUGGAAAAAGACCUGUGGUUCCAGAGAAACUCAAGACCAAAGCUACUGACUAGUGCCCUGCCACCUCCCCCAACCAAGGAGGAGGCGCAGACUUAAGGUGGACAGCCUGGAAUAUUCCACUGCACACUGAUGUUGGGAGAGAGAUCAGGUUAUUCUAACUUGCCCAUUAAUGUAUAUGAAUUACUUAGUUAAUUCCACUGAGUUGCUUCUAUUUGAAAAGAAUUGUAUCAGGAACUGGAAGUGUAAAAAUGCUGUUCAAUAAAGAAGGCAUAAUUAAAUGAGGACAUAAGUUAUUACAAUGUAAAGUUAUAUCGGAAGCAGAUUUAACAUGAAGUGAAAGAAGCGCCAAUGUCAGUGCCCCUCACUUACAUGAGCCCCUUCUGAUGCUCGGGGAGAGACCCUAUAAACAUACUUAUAUGGUCGUACAAUCUGGUAAACUUUGCAAAAGUGAGAAGUUUUUUUAAAACUACAGUUAAACUGUCUCUUUCCCGUCUUACUUUCCCUACCAUUGAAAUGGCCAAUGACAUUUCUGAGACCCAACAAAAAAGUUGUAUUGAGGACACAUGUAGUUGAGUUUACUGAAAUAUAUGUAGGGGGCUCACAAAUACUUCCUUUUAGAAUGAACUGAUUGCCAGUUGCACUGGUGUAAGAGUGAUUUCUAGAAACGUCUUACUACCCCUGUGCUGCUUCAUUGAGUCCAUGGCUUGAGGGUAUAGAACAGAGGCUUUACCAUGACAAGAACCUGCCCUGUGGCACUCAGCCCAGGAAGUAAGUGGGUCCUGGAGGAGAUGCAAGGGUCUGACGUGUGUGCAGCCAGAAAGGAGUCUGGAGAAUUCCUCCAAUCAGACAUGUAGAACUGUAAACAGAGAUUUGGUUCUCAACAGAGCCUGGUCAGAACAGAACUUUCCAAAGUCAGGAAUCCUCUUAAUAACACAGCGUAAGUGGUUAUACACUUGUAUACACAUGCACCAUCCAUUCUUUCUUUUUGUUGGUAAUUGCACAAAAUGAUAGAAUAUACAGGUCUUGAGGCACAACCUGGAGGCAGUACUACAAAGAGGGAGUCCAUCUAUACGUGAAGUUCUAUAUUCUAGUCAUUCCAGUUAUCAACAAUAAAAACAUGUGACCAGCCAUUACAGAAGAAAGACCGGUAGCUACUGAAUGAAAAUGUUAUUUUCCUAGAUUUUGAAAUAUUCGUUGUAUUCAUCAAUUCAUUAAGACUUGAUUUUUUGUGAUUUCUUUAUUCUAAACAAAUAUGCAUUUUCAUAUCUAAUUUGUUAUUAAUCACUUUCGAUUAUUUUUCCUAAAGAGGUCCCCCAAAAUUGUUUAAACUUCAGGACCUAUGGAAUCUGGAUCUGCCCCAGUACAAAGCAAUGAGCCUGAUGAGAGAGAAACGUAAGGGGGUCUGAGGGAGUUCUGAGAAGGAAGACAUUAUUCAUGACUGAGAUGAUCAAAGCAAGGUUUUAUCUGAGCUAUGAUUGAGCGGAAGAACUUGAAUUCAGAGAUAUGGCAAAUGAUGUUCUAAAAGAAAAAAUGAAUGCUUUAUAACAUUUUUUUAAGUUUACACACAGUAUAGUUUUAAUGAGUUAAGCAUAUGGCUAUUCCAAUAUCCUUCUACACUUAACGUUUACAAACACAUUUUAAUGAAGGAUCUUGCUGGAAAGAGGAUUUAUUCACAGUGUAGUUUCA